rnacentral:tRNA from 1 species
UCCUUGUUAGCUCAGUCGGUAGAGCGUUCGACUUUUAUAAUCGAAAUGUCAGGGGUUCGAGCCCCCUAUGAGGAG